CAGGCUGCAACUCGCCUGCAUGAAGUCGGAAUUGCUAGUAAUCGCGGAUCAGCAUGCCGCGGUGAAUACGUUCUCGGGCCUUGUACACACCGCCCGUCACACCAUGGGAGUCGGUAACACCCGAAGUCUGUAGCCUGACGCAAGAGGGCGCAGCCGAAGGUGGGAUUGAUGACUGGGGUGAAGUCGUAACAAGGUAGC
rnacentral:rRNA from 1 species